CGGCACAGGCAAGGACGACCCAGGGCUUGCUGAAGAGUCAUCCGAAGAGUCACUGCCUGACAACAAGCUGAGCGACAUAGCUGAUAUAACCUUCACCGUGCAGCCAGUACCGCUGGUCGAAGCGGGCGACCCGUUCAAGCGGGACGCAGUCGAGCGUUCCUCACCCACGGCUGACGUGCCCAAAGAAGAUGGCGACGUUUCGGCGCUUGCAGAGCCGAUGUUACCCAGCGGCGAGGGGCCGUCGGGCUCAUGCAGUAGCUUGAGACCCGAGUUCGACGACAGAGCUCCAGUGGAACCGGUGGCCACCACCUCACACGCGGAGUGUGCGGCACCGUGUGCAGCACCGGAGGGCGUCGUCGGCGCAGCUUUUGUGGUUUCGGAUGGUUCACCGCCUAAGUCGCGCAGGCCUGCUAGACGAGGCACAAACAGGUCACGGCACCUUCUGUGCCACAGUUCCGAUGCUCUCUGGCGUCUCCCGGAGGCGACGUCCCGACUCCGAUCGGGAAGGUCAUACGACAGUGUCGUGACCCGGGCUGCAACGCGACGGAAACAGCCAAAGAAAAAGGAGCCACCUCAGCCCUGGCGAUGAGGGGUGUGCGUUUCUGCCAGGAGGCCAUCGACGCCUUCGCUGUAUAUACGGGGAAAAGCGAGACUAAUAUGGCUGCGUUGUGUCGCAUCUGCCAUGGCAAGUGUGCCCCUGUGUGUGUGAAAUAAAAAGCUUUUUUCUUUUGUUUUUCCACGA